GAUGAACGCUAGCUACAGGCUUAACACAUGCAAGUCGCGGGGCAGCAUGGGGGUUGCUUGCAAUCCCCGAUGGCGACCGGCGCACGGGUGAGUAACGCGUAUCCAACCUGCCCUUCACCACGGGAUAACCCGGCGAAAGUCGGACUAAUACCGUAUGUUGUCCAUUGACGGCAUCCGAUUUGGACGAAAGGUUUGGCGGUGAAGGAUGGGGAUGCGUCCGAUUAGCUGGACGGCGGGGUGACGGCCCACCGUGGCGACGAUCGGUAGGGGUUCUGAGAGGAAGGACCCCCACACUGGAACUGAGACACGGUCCAGACUCCUACGGGAGGCAGCAGUGAGGAAUAUUGGUCAAUGGGCGUAAGCCUGAACCAGCCAAGUAGCGUGCAGGAUGACGGCCCUAUGGGUUGUAAACUGCUUUUAUGCGGGGAUAAAGUGGCCCACGUGUGGGUUUUUGCAGGUACCGCAUGAAUAAGGACCGGCUAAUUCCGUG
rnacentral:rRNA from 1 species